AGUCAAUAGAUACCCGGGUAGUCCACGCCGUAAACGAUGAAUACUAGGUGUGGGGGUUGUCAUGACCUCCGUGCCGCCGCUAAACGCAUUAAGUAUUCCGCCUGGGGAGUACGGUCGCAAGAUUAAAACUCAAAGGAACUGACGGGGGCCCGCACAAGCAGCGGAGCAUGUGGUUUAAAUUCGAAGCAACGCGAAGAACCUUACCUAGACUUGACAUCUCCUGAAUUACUCUGUAAUAGAGGAAGCCUUUCGGGGCAGGAAGACAGGUGGUGCAUGGUUGUCGUCAGCUCGUGUCGUGAGAUGUUGGGUUAAGUCCCGCAACGAGCGCAACCCUUAUUGUUAGUUGCUACCAUUUAGUUGAGCACUCUAGCGAGACUGCCCGGGCUAACCGGGAGGAAGGUGGGGAUGACGUCAAAUCAUCAUGCCCCUUAUGUCUAGGGCUACACACGUGCUACAAUGGCUGGUACAGAGAGAUGCGAUACCGCGAGGUGGAGCCAAACUUUAAAACCAGUCUCAGUUCGGAUUGUAGGCUGAAACUCGCC
rnacentral:rRNA from 1 species